GGGGGUAUAGCUCAGUGGUAGAGCGUGUGCUUAGCAUGCACGAGGUCCUGGGUUCGAUCCCCAGUAACUCCA
rnacentral:tRNA from 1 species